GGAGCACCAGCCUUGACCCUCAGAAGUCGGCUGUCAUUCUGGUUGCACUCAAAUAUGUGGGGAAAACUCCAGACGAUAGAUUCAUCACCAUUAUGCUACGAAUCUGACACGACAGAAAGGCAUUACAGAGGGUGAUCAAGCUGAUCCGGAAAAUCCCAGGGACAGAUCACCCCUCACUGCAUGACAUCUACAAUAAAAGGAAAUGGGCUUGAAACAUCAUCAAGGACACCACCCAUCCCAUCCACAAUUUCCUCACCUUAAUGAAGUCUAGCAAGCGGUACCGGAGCACUGCGGCCAGAACAUCCAGACUCCAGAACAGUUUAUAUCACCAGACCAUUAGAUUGAUAAAUAGUCCAAACCCACUGCCACUUCCACCUGUAUCAUCAGGGUCAGUUCAGUCUGUUCAGUGGCACUCUGCACUUUACCUGCUGAACCAUCAUGCACUCA